rnacentral:rRNA from 1 species
CCUACGGGAGGCAGCAGUGGGGAAUAUUGGUCAAUGGGCGUAAGCCUGAACCAGCCAAGUCGCGUGAGGGAUGAAGGUUCUAUGGAUCGUAAACCUCUUUUAUAAGGGAAUAAAGUGUGGGACGUGUCCUGUUUUGUAUGUACCUUAUGAAUAAGGAUCGGCUAACUCCGUGCCAGCAGCCGCGGUAAUACGGAGGAUCCGAGCGUUAUCCGGAUUUAUUUGGUUUAAAGGGUGCGUAGGCGGCCUUUUAAGUCAGCGGGGAAAGUCUGUGGCUCAACCAUAGAAGUGCCGUUGAAACUGGCGGGCUUGAGUAUGUCUGAGGCAGGCGGAAUGCGUGGUGUAGCGGUGAAAUGCUUAGAUAUCACGCAGAACUCCGAUUGCGAAGGCAGCCUGCCAAGCCAUGACUGACGCUGAUGCACGAAAGCGUGGGGAUCAAACAGGAUUAGAUACCCGUGUAGUC